rnacentral:sRNA from 13 species
GUACGCCCUUCUAUUACAGGUCCCCCAAACCUCCCUGGGCCGUGUGGUCGGUUCCGUGUGCGCAUUGAUGGGUGUCCUAACUAUUGCUCUUCCAGUUCCAGUUAUUGUUUCAAAC